AUGCUCGCCAAUCGCGAUGUGGAAAAAGAAACCCUACACCCACGAGCCAAUCCCGCAGCCGCCUCCCCCCGCGCCUCGCUCCGCAGCCGCCUCCCCCGCAUCCUCCGCGCCUCUCCCUGUGCCACCCAUCUCCGCCUCCUCUCCCAUCUCCUCCCUGCUGCUGCUGGCCAUCGCACCCUCGCCAUCGACGAUUCAUGCGGCCGACAGCGAGUGCCAGUGAGCGACCGGGAGGCCGCCACCUCUCCUGGCCUCCUCCCAGAGGUUCCCGAUCUGGAGCGGCGAGGCCAACCCCCUCUUCACACGCAGAGGGGCGACGGGGUGGAUCGGGUGGCGGUGAUGUCAGAGCUCGAGGCAGAGAUGGCGGAGCUCGGGCUGGAGCGCUCACGGGAUGACGGAUUCAAGGGCUGGAGCGCUCACGGGAUGGAGGUGCUCAGGCUAGAGGCAGGGGAGGACGCCCUACGGGCGAGCUGGAGGUGGAGGCGGGGAUGGGAAGAGGCCUGGAGUUGCUCAGCAUCGGUUCUGUCAACCUGCAAGGUGGUUUGCUCGACCACUCACCGUCGGUUCUGUCAAUAUGCAAGGUGA
rnacentral:rRNA from 1 species